AUUGAACGCUGGCGGCAGGCCUAACACAUGCAAGUCGAACGAGUGGCGGACGGGUGAGUAAUGUCUGGGAAACUGCCUGAUGGAGGGGGAUAACUACUGGAAACGGUAGCUAAUACCGCAUACCAUCGGAUGUGCCCAGAUGGGAUUAGCUAGUAGGUGGGUAACGGCUCACCUAGGCGACGAUCCCUAGCUGGUCUGAGAGGAUGACCAGACACACUGGAACUGCGACACGGUCCAAACUCCUACGGGAGGCAGCAGUGGGGAAUAUGGCACAAUGGGCGCAAGCCUGAUGCAGCCAUGCCGCGUGUAUGAAGAAGGCCUUCGGGUUGUAAAAUACGGUCGGCGGGGAGGCGUUACCCACAGAAGAAGCACCGGCUAACUCCGUGCCAGCAGCCGCGGUAAUUC
rnacentral:rRNA from 1 species